ACUGGAGGAAUCAGCGUGCUUUAACCAUUACCGAAAGAUUGGUAACCCCUUGAAAAUCCUCCGUGAUCGGGAUCGGGAAUUGCAAUUAUUUCCCUUGAAC
rnacentral:ncRNA from 1 species